GAUGAAGAACGCAGCGAAAUGAGAUACGUAGUGUGAAUUGCAGAAUUCAGUGAAUCAUCGAAUCUUUGAACGCACAUUGCACCUCUCGGUAUUCCGGGAGGUAUGCCUGUUCGAGCGUCAUUUGUACCCUCAAGCUCUGCUUGGUGUUGGGUGUUUGUUCCGCCUCUGUGUGUGAACUCGCCUCAAAACAAUUGGCAGCCGGCGUACUUGUUUCGGAGCGCAGCACAUUUUGCGAUCCAGAUCAACGUACAGCGGCAUCCAAGAAGCCUUAUUUAACGCUCUUGACCUCGGAUCAGGUAGGGAUACCCGCUGAACUUAAGCAUAUCAAUAAGCGGAGGA
rnacentral:misc_RNA from 1 species